UACGUAGGCGGGCGAUUAAGUCAGAGGUGAAAUCCCACAGCUCAACUGUGGAACUGCCUUUGAUACUGGUUGUCUUGAGUUACAGUGAAGUAGAUAGAAUAUGUAGUGUAGCGGUGAAAUGCAUAGAUAUUACAUAGAAUACCGAUUGCGAAGGCAGUCUACUAACUGUUAACUGACGCUAAGGGACGAAAGCGUGGGGAGCGAACAGGAUUAGAUACCCUGGUAGUCC
rnacentral:rRNA from 1 species